rnacentral:lncRNA from 1 species
GCUACCGUUGCAUCACAGUUGAGGUUUUACACGCUUUAAUAAUUUUAAAGAGCUCGUAAAUACUAUAAUUGUAUAACAGCCAGUAAUUUAAACCGCAGCACCGCCCAGCAAUAAUAGUAGUACUAUUGGCCAAUCCGUCUGAUUUACUCAAAUUUGACAAAAACUAGUUCUAUGACCAAGAGAGCUACUUUAAAACUGCCCAUGUCUAGCAUAGCUCACACCUGGCCUUUGUGACUUCUGUGAGAGUGUGUUUCUUAGAACGGUUAUGGCGGCUGGGCUGACAGACAGCUUUAAUGUGCCCCUUCAACACACGUGUAGGUACACACACACACACAGACACACAUAUUCUGCCUGGAAUAUCUUGGCCAUGUGAUGUGUCACCAUUCUAUUUGUAGGGCAGCAGUGAGAGAGAGCGAGGUCUACAGUUUCCAGGAGUUCAGAGAUAGGUCUCUCUCAAACCCGCUCUCCUCAGAGAUUAGAGAUUUCUGCCGAGGGCAACAAACUGCAGAGAAAGCCUGGCUGGCGUUAAGUGAAGGAUUGUGCUGUGAAGCUUUGAAUAUAGCCUAACCUCCUGAAUGUUAAAGCAAUGUCAUUUGCUUUUCAGUCACUGUUUGUUCUGGUUGUAUUUGUAAAAAGUAGCAUUUUGCUUUAGGUGUUGGAAUUUUUAUUUAAACUAAGCAAAAAACUUGGAAUACCUCAAGUUUAAAGCAAAAUGCCAGCUUAAGAAAGUAUUUAGAAGAAACUUAAUGUAGCUGUAGUUCAGUUUCAUAAAAAAACACCUCAGUCAUGCCUACGUGAGCCUUUGGUGGGAUUUGACUGAAUUAUAACACUAAUCUUGUUUUAAUUUAGAACCUCUGGUUCUUAAGUCCCACUAAAUUGUGCAAAACUGCCCCUAAAUCUGUAAUCGCAUAUUGACAAGGGAAGUCUGGCCAGACCAUGCUGUACCCGUCUGUGUUUAAACAUGGAAACCCUUAAAGGGCCAGAGACCCUCAGCGUGCACUUGAGUGACCUAUUUUCACCUCCACGUGGAGUCCGCUCUGGCGUUUGUUGCGUAUGAAGGGGCAUAUAUGAUACGUGGGCACUUGAAAGUACAAACCCUGCCACCCUGUUGUCUACGAAACAUUCUGAUGAAAGUCUGGCAUGAAGUGUAUUUUCAAAGACCCCUUUUAUCACGCCAUUUGCUUCUGGGUGAGAGCCAAGCCUGGAAGAACACUCCAUGGCUCGUGACAGUGACUGUGUUGAAAUGAUUUCUAUUUGUUCUUGUCGUCUGUCUCAUCUGUAAAGAAUUUGUGAG